rnacentral:rRNA from 1 species
GACGAACGCUGGCGGCGUGCUUAACACAUGCAAGUCGAACGAUGAAGCCUAGCUUGCUAGGUGGAUUAGUGGCGAACGGGUGAGUAAUACGUGAGUAACCUACCUUUAACUCUGGGAUAAGCCCGGGAAACUGGGUCUAAUACCGGAUACGACCAAUCUCCGCAUGGGGUGUUGGUGGAAAGCGUUAUGUAGUGGUUAUAGAUGGGCUCACGGCCUAUCAGCUUGUUGGUGAGGUAACGGCUCACCAAGGCGACGACGGGUAGCCGGCCUGAGAGGGUGACCGGCCACACUGGGACUGAGACACGGCCCAGACUCCUACGGGAGGCAGCAGUGGGGAAUAUUGCACAAUGGGCGCAAGCCUGAUGCAGCGACGCCGCGUGAGGGAUGACGGCCUUCGGGUUGUAAACCUCUGUUAGCAGGGAAGAAGAGAGAUUGACGGUACCUGCAGAGAAAGCGCCGGCUAACUACGUGCCAGCAGCCGCGGUAAUACGUAGGGCGCGAGCGUUGUCCGGAAUUAUUGGGCGUAAAGAGCUUGUAGGCGGUUUGUCGCGUCUGCUGUGAAAGGCCGGGGCUUAACUCCGUGUAUUGCAGUGGGUACGGGCAGACUAGAGUGCAGUAGGGGAGACUGGAAUUCCUGGUGUNAGCGGUGGAAUGCGCAGAUAUCAGGAGGAACACCGAUGGCGAAGGCAGGUCUCUGGGCUGUAACUGACGCUGAGAAGCGAAAGCAUGGGGAGCGAACAGGAUUAGAUACCCUGGUAGUCCAUGCCGUAAACGUUGGGCACUAGGUGUGGGGAACAUUCCACGUUUUCCGCGCCGUAGCUAACGCAUUAAGUGCCCCGCCUGGGGAGUACGGCCGCAAGGCUAAAACUCAAAGAAAUUGACGGGGGCCCGCACAAGCGGCGGAGCAUGCGGAUUAAUUCGAUGCAACGCGAAGAACCUUACCAAGGCUUGACAUAUACUGGACCGCAUCAGAGAUGGUGUUUCCCUUCGGGGCUGGUAUACAGGUGGUGCAUGGUUGUCGUCAGCUCGUGUCGUGAGAUGUUGGGUUAAGUCCCGCAACGAGCGCAACCCUCGUUCUAUGUUGCCAGCACGUAAUGGUGGGGACUCAUAGGAGACUGCCGGGGUCAACUCGGAGGAAGGUGGGGAUGACGUCAAAUCAUCAUGCCCCUUAUGUCUUGGGCUUCACGCAUGCUACAAUGGCCGGUACAGAGGGUUGCGAUACUGUGAGGUGGAGCUAAUCCCUAAAAGCCGGUCUCAGUUCGGAUUGGGGUCUGCAACUCGACCCCAUGAAGUCGGAGUCGCUAGUAAUCGCAGAUCAGCAACGCUGCGGUGAAUACGUUCCCGGGCCU